rnacentral:misc_RNA from 1 species
AACGCAAAUGGCACUCUAUGGUAUUCCGUAGAGUACGUCUGUUUGAGCGUCGCGAACAUCUCCAUAAUUAGUUUUUUUAAAUUGAUUAAGGGUUUUGAGGUUGUCAUUGUAUUAUGACUCCCUUUAAAAUGAUUAGUGAUGACCUUAUGAAUGGGUUAAUACUGUGUGUUAUAAUGGAUUACAUCCAUCACCAGUCAGAGAGUAAUCUCGCCUUAGUAAUUUGUAGUGAUUGCUUCUAAUAGCCUUUAUUGGCAAAAUAAAUGAUCAAAUCGACCUCAAAUCAGAUGGGAUUACCCGCUGAACUUAA